rnacentral:rRNA from 1 species
AUGGCAACUGCAAUAGCGGUGGGUGUUUCUACCGGUGCCAUGAAACCUGUUCUUGAAAAGCUGGCCACUCUUAUGGGAGGCGAGUUCUCCAAGAUGAAAAACGUGCGGAAGGGUGUACAAUUUCUCAGUGAUGAGCUUACAAGCAUGAAAGAUCUUCUUGAGAAGCUUGCACUUGUGGACGAGCUAGAUCCACAAACCAAGAGGUGGAGAGACAAUGUAAGCGAGAUGUCUUUUGACAUUGAGAACAUUAUUGAUGACUUCGGGCAAAAAUUUGUGGAGAAAAAUGAAAAGGAAGGGCUUGCCAAGAAGACUGUUCGGUUUCUCAAAACUUUGAGAGCCCGUUACCAGAUUGCUGGCCAGAUUGAAAGGAUCAGGAAACUAGUGCUUGAAACUACUGCCAGACGCAACAGGUAUAUGUUCAAUACUCCACCACCAAAGGAUGUGACCAUUGACCCACGAGUGGCCAUACUCCAAAAAGAUGCAGCUAACCUUGUUGGUUUGAAAGUGCAAACCGAUGAGCUCGUCGAUUGGCUAAAUGACGAGGAGACACAUUUGAAGGUGGUAUCCAUUGUGGGAUUUGGAGGCCUGGGCAAAACAACACUCGCCAACGAGAUAUACCGUCAACCCGAUGGAGGAUUUGAAUGUUGUGCACUUGUCCCAGUGACGCAAAAGCAUAACAUCCCAAAACUUCUCCGUAGUUUACUAGCUGAACUUGGGAGUGGAGCAUGUUCUCUUGAUUGUGAUGUAAAUGUUCUUGUCAACAAACUGAAAGAAUAUCUACAAAAAAAGAGGUACUUGAUUGUAAUUGAUGAUCUAUGGGAGGUACCACCAUGGGAUAUUAUUAAAGGUGCUUUCCCAGAUAAUGGCCUUGGGAGCAGAGUAAUAACAACCACAAGAAUACGUGAUGUGGCUGAGGCAUGCUGCUCCCAUCCUCGUGAUUAUAUUUUGGAAAUGAAGCCACUUAGCGACGAAGACUCAAGAAGACUGUUCUUUAAUAGGAUAUGUAAAUCUGAAGAAACUUACCCUCGCCAGUUUUGGGAUAUUUCUACUGAAAUUCUCAAAAAAUGUGAUGGUAUGCCACUUGCUAUUAUUACCAUAUCAGGCAUGCUAGCAAGUGAACGCUUCAACCAAGAGCGUUGGGAAGAUAUAAGGAAUUCUCUAGGUUCGGGAACAAAUUUCAAGUUGGAAGGGAUGAGGAAAAUAUUAGAUCUCAGCUACAAGAACCUUCGUCCUCAUCUCAAGACAUGUUUGUUGUAUUUUGGUAUGUAUCCCGAGGACUUCAAUAUACAGAGGCAUCAUUUGGAACUUCAAUGGAUUGGCGAAGGCUUUAUUAGUAGGGUUUUUAUCAUUUCUGCCACUAGUUGUGUCCCACUACUCAGUUUUGUCAUUAGAAAUUACAACUACUCAAAAAUGCCAUCGAUUCGUGAGAUGCUUGCUCAAAAAUGCCAUUAG